GGUGAGCAUGUGGUUUAAUUCGAUGCAACGCGAAGAACCUUACCUGGGCUUGACAUCCCUAGAAUCCCCUGGAAACAGGGGAGUGCCUUUCGGGGAACUCGGAGACAGGUGCUGCAUGGCUGUCGUCAGCUCGUGUCGUGAGAUGUUGGGUUAAGUCCCGCAACGAGCGCAACCCUUGUCUUUAAUUGCCAGCAUUCAGUUGGGCACUUUAAAGAGACUGCCGGUGUUAAGCCGGAGGAAGGUGGGGAUGACGUCAAGUCCUCAUGGCCUUUAUGCCCAGGGCUACACACGUGCUACAAUGGGUGGUACAAAGAGAUGCCAACUCGCGAGAGCGCGCCAAUCUCAGAAAGCCAUCCUCAGUUCGGAUUGCAGGCUGCAAUUCGCCUGCAUGAGGUCGGAAUCGCUAGUAAUCGCAGGUCAGCAUACUGCGGUGAAUACGUUCCCGGGCCUU
rnacentral:rRNA from 1 species